rnacentral:rRNA from 1 species
CAAAAACAUAGCCCUCGUAAAAAUCGAAGGUGUAACCUGCCCAAUGAUUAUUAAUUUAAAAGACUUAAAAAACCUUGAAAAUAAUUCAACGGACGCGGUAACCUGACCGUGGUAAUGUAGCAUAAUCAAUCGCCAUUUAAUUGAUGGAUAGUAUGAAUGGUUGAACGAAUAUUACACUGUCUCAAGUAAAAAUUUUAUGAAAUUAAGAUAAUAGUUAAGACGCUAUUUCAAACUGUAAGACGAAAAGACCCUAUAGAGCUUAACUACAGACUUUUUUAAUAAAAACCAUUAAAAAUGAUUAAAGAAAAAGUUAGGUAGUUUAGUUGGGGCGACUGUUUUCUAAAAAGAACGAAAACUAGCAAAGUUAAUAAUAAUAACUUAUUGUUUAAUAAACCUAUUUAACAAUUACAAAAGUAGGCUAUAAUGACCCAUUGAAUUUAAGAAAAUAAAUCAAUGAUUAAAGAAUAAAAGCUACCUUAGGGAUAACAGGAUAAUUUUGUUUUAGAGAUCAUAUCGAAGACAAAGUUUGUCACCUCUAUGUUGAAUUGAGAUAUCCUGAUAAUGCAGAAGUUAUCAAAGGUAGGUCUGUUCGACCUUUAAAAUCUUACAUGAUUUGAGUUCAUUCCGU